rnacentral:lncRNA from 1 species
GGCACCCUUGUUGUGCUUCUUCUUGGUGUCCUUUGUUUUUGCUGCAACAUUGUGCAAUGCCGAUGUAAAGUCGGUCGAGGUCGUCGGUGUUGGUGAAUGUGCUGAUUGCAAAGAGAGUAACAUAAAAACUAGCCAUGCUUUGUCAGGUUCAUGCCAUCUUUUUUCUGUUUUAUGAUUAUGGUGAAAGCUAUUUCUUAGGAGAGUUUAAUUUCUCUUUUUGUUUUAGCUUUACAAGUGAUGAAAACAUGUCUUUUAUAGUAUAGGCACUACUCAUGAGAAUGGAUGGGUUGAUUACUUAGUUUAUUUCAUUUUGGCCUCCAUUGACUUUCUGUUUUAAUCAUUCAACUUUAAAUGUUUUGUUUUAGUAUCUAAAUAUUGUGUAGUCACUGUCUUUGGGUUUUCAUUAAUAUUUGAUCUAUACAAUCUAAACCUCUUUUAAAAUCCAAUGUUAAACCUACUUCAACAAGCUUUAGGCAUCUUUGUAACAAACAUCUACCUCUCAGAUUCUCAUCAAUUAAGCGACACAAAAUACUUGUCUAAAUGAAAAAAGUUUUUGCUAGUGACACUGGAUGGGUGGAGGGCAUAUCGUCAAAGACCGCCAAAUUGCCAAUUGACCCAAAGACUUAAAUUGAUGGAUGAAAAAUAUCAAAUUAUACCUCUAAACUUAAAGAGUUGUAUUAAUUUAAAUUAUGAAAUAAUUAUUGUAUCAACUAAACAUCUAAACUAUGGUAGAUGAAUAAAUUUAGAUUUUUAGACUUCGAAGAUCAUACAUUACUCAAAUUGUCCAUGUUAUAAACUGAUGUUUGAAUAAGUGCACACAUUUGAAAAUUAUAUCUAACACUCUACCAAAAGGCAAUCGUGCUGAUACGAAAUGUACACUUUUUACUAUGUGCAGGACUGAAAGUAGCCAUAGAUUGCAAAUCAAGUGAUGGGAACUUCAAAACAAGAGGGAUUGGAGAGUUGAAUGAAGAAGGAAAGUUCACUGUAUUGCUGCCUAAUGCCAUUGUGGAAGAUGGAAAGUUGAAGGAAGAAUGUUAUGCACAACUUUAUAGUGCAGCAGCCAACCCUUGCCCUACUCAUGAUGACCUUCAAUCCUCUAAGAUUGUUUUACUAUCCAAAUCAGAUGAGAAACACACUUUUGGGUUACCUGGUAAAAUCAAGAUUUCACCAGGAACUUGUACAUCAGCUUUCCUUUGGCCAUUUUUCAAGUACCCUCCUCUUACCAAGUUCCCUCAAUUUCCUUUGCCACUCCCUCUUAUACCUGACUUUCAUCAUCCACAUUUGAAGCAUUUUGUUCCCCCAUUCUCCUUCCCUCCAUUGCCACCUAAAGUCUUCUCUCCAUUUCCACCUAAAGAGUUCCCACCAACGCCGGUGUAUGAAAAGCCACUUCCACCACCUGUUCCAGUUUAUGAAAAACCUGUUCCACCACCUACACCGGUAUAUGAAAAGCCACUUCCACCACCUGUUCCUGUUUAUGAAAAACCUCUUCCCCCACCUACACCGGUCUAUGAAAAACCACUUCCACCGCCUACUCCAGUUUAUGAAAAACCUCAUCCUCCGCCUACACCUGUCUAUGAAAAGCCACUUCCACCGCCUGUUCCUGUUUAUGAAAAACCUCUUCCCCCACCUACACCGGUCUAUGAAAAACCACUUCCACCGCCUACUCCAGUUUAUGAAAAACCUCAUCCUCCGCCUACACCUGUCUAUGAAAAGCCACUUCCACCGCCUGUUCCUGUGUAUGUAAAGCCUAUUCCUCCACCUACUCCGAUCUAUGAAAAGCCACUUCCACCUCCUGUUCCGGUUUAUAAAAAACCUGUUCCUCCACCUACACCAGUCUAUGAAAAGCCACAUCCACCGCCUGUUUAUGAAAAGCCACUUCCACCUCCUGUGUAUGUAAAACCUAAGCCUCCACCAGUGCCAAUCUACAAAAAGCCACUUCCACCACCGGUUCCUGUUUACAAAAAACCUUGUCCUCCCCCUGUUCCUAUUUACAAGAAACCUAAUCCUCCACCAGUAUAUGAGAAGCCACUUCCACCACCAGUUCCUGUUUAUAAGAAACCUAAUCCUCCACCAGUGCCAGUCUACAAGAAGCCUCUUCCACCUCCUGUUCCCAUAUAUAAGAAAC